UACGGUGGUUAUAGCGAGAGGGAAACACCCGGUUCCAUCCCGAACCCGGAAGUUAAGGCUCUUUGCGCCGAUGGUACUGCACUGGUGACGGUGUGGGAGAGUAGGUCACCGCCGGUU
rnacentral:rRNA from 2 species